CAUUUACAGACACUGGCCACUUCUUUUGAAUCUGUUUGCUAUUGUUUUGACUGCAUUUAUUCUAUUGUAGGUCACUGGCUCUACCUGGAGGCGUCCUCUGUACCUGCAAUCAAAAAACUAGUAUGGCAUCCAAACUCUCUCAGAGACCAAACUUGGAUGUCAACAAACAUCACAAGGACAAGAAUCUUAUAACAAAUGCAUGGCAAAGUAUGACCACAGCGUUCCAUCAGAUAUCAGAGAAUGAAGCGAGAGAUUCCAGCCAUCCUCAGUCAUUUCUCGGCCAACAGAGAUUGUCUGCUGCUCUCAGGAGGGUCCAGCUCAGCAAAGACAAAUCAAAAUAAUACUAUAAACUUUGUUCCAUAUUAGUCCUAUAGUGCACAGGGCAUUGAUGAGACACAAAGUCAUUGGCUCCACCUGCUGGACACUGAAUGCGUUUACAUGCACAAUUAUGCUGAUAGACUGUAUUUAUUAUAUAUACAUACACUUAGUAAAUAUGCAAAUAAGAAAAUGUCACAAAAUAACUUCAUAACAUAACCAAACCAAACCAAGUUAUUCCAGAUAGUGUAUUGUCCUCUGGUAUUAUCUGAUCAUAUUUCAGUCUUCUGCAAACACACCUGUGAGACUUCACGUCUUAGCUUUUUUUAAUCCUAUGGUAAAAAUGUAAUUGUUUUAUUUUAAGUGCAAAACAACCAACGAUUUUUAGAGUGGGUUUUUUGUCUUUAUUUAGCAAUAGCCAAUUAUUACAAGCCAAAAAUGGAUUUGUUGUUUGGAUUGUUCAAUUAUAUAUAAUUGAAAAUUUCGUUUGGUCCUCAUGAAGUGUUUUGAAAAUUUAAAUGUGGAUCUUUGAUGAAAGAUUAAAUUGUAAUAAGCAUUAUGUGGCUCAGUCCAAAAUCAAAGUUGCA